UACGUAGGGGGCAAGCGUUGUCCGGAUUUAUUGGGCGUAAAGAGCGUGUAGGCGGCCAGGUAGGUCUGCUGUGAAAACUCGAGGCUUAACCUCGAGAUGUCGGCGGAAACCAUCUGGCUAGAGUCCGGAAGAGGAGAGCGGAAUUCCUGGUGUAGCGGUGAAAUGCGCAGAUAUCAGGAGGAACACCAAUGGCGAAGGCAGCUCGCUGGGACGUGACUGACGCUGAGACGCGAAAGCGUGGGGAGCAAACAGG
rnacentral:rRNA from 1 species